CUUCGGUGCUGAUUUUUCUCAGCCUCUGAAGUGAACAGAGCUACAAUCUCCUGUGCAAUCUCGAGGGCAGGUGUGUUUCAGAUUUCAGAAGAUUUGCAGGUUCCUCGGAAGGCGAUGUGGUUCAGGCUAGGAAGAUGGCUUCAGGGUAAGGUGCAAACUCAUGGCUGCCUAGAGCAACUUGACUCCAAUACAAGGAAGAACCAUCCUGAGGAGGAAAAAAAUGAGAUGCUGGCAAGCAGAGAAGCAAAGACAAGCAGAGAUAAAUCAGGUUUCAACACAGGACCACACACGUCUCAGCACACUGCUGCCUUCGCCCAGCCCUGCCCACUCACUUCUUUCUCCUUAUUUCCCAACCAUGCCACAGAGAGUGAACUCCAGGCUUAAGGAACAGCUUAGGGGCAGGGCACACUACCAUCAAUGUAAGACUGGAUUCAGGUUCCACCCUUAGCUCUGGGGAAAACUUGGACAAACUCCAUGGCUGAGUAAAUUAAGCCAGUAAGGUCCAAGUGCAUGCUGUUGCCAUUGGCUUGAAGGGCAUCCAGCUUGUCCUGUGAAUUUGCUUUUCCAGAACUGUACAACCAAUGAGAGGCUCCUAAAAUUUAACCAGUUGGUUUGAGCUGUCUUUUGUUAAACUGCUUUUGUGUAUAUGAAACCAUUGACCGCUUUUUUUUUAAACAACCUGUUUAUUUUAUGUAUAUUAAGUGUUUGCUUGUAUUGUGUGUACCUUGUGCAUGUAAUGCUCCAGGAGGCCAGAAGAGGGCGUCGUAUUCCCUGGAACUGGAGUUGCAGAUGGUUGUGAGUCACCUUAUACGCGCCUGGAACUGAACCCAGGUCCACUGCAAGAGCAGUCAGAGCAUGUAACCACUGAGCCACCUCUCCAGCCCCACAUUGCUCAUUUCCCAUUGCUCUGUUCUAAAAAUGCUUCCGCUUAUUACAAAGAAAUGAAAAGAGACAGGAGCAUCCCUUCACAGCAGUACCUGCUACCUGGGAUAAUGUUGAUUUUUGUCUUACCACUGGUCCAGGGUGUGUCUGUGAGUGCUAAGAUAAUGUCUUCGUGAAUUUGUUCACGCAGGCUUUCAAACGGUCCUUGACGCAAGUGAUGUCUCCUUUCCAUACACACGACUAUUAAACUCCAUAGAACCUCGUUUCUUAAAGUGUGACCCGCAGGUCGGCAUCACCAGCAUCUUGGGACUGACGCCGGGACCCCAACCCCAGAACUGCUGGUUUCUAAGUCAAGUUUCAGAAGUGUUGCCGCAGGGAAUACAG
rnacentral:lncRNA from 1 species